GCAUCCAUGGCUGAAUGGUUAAAGCGCCCAACUCAUAAUUGGAGAAGUCGUAGGUUCAAUUCCUACUGGAUGCA
rnacentral:tRNA from 6 species